UCACCUGGAUCGGGCUGCCGAAGACCUUGAGGAUGCAAGCUUAUACGGAUCCUCAAGCUUAUACGGGGAAAAAAACAAAUCAUAUUAUCUGCAAAGUAGGGAGUUUCACCUACAAGAUGCUAAGUACUAUACCGACUUUGGGCUGCGUCAUCUAGAAGAAAUUGCGAGCCUCCAAAGUCUCCUAGAUAGAGAGAUUGAAGCACUGCAGCAUGGAGCUUCCACCAAACAAAAGACGUGGCUGCAUUCUUGUCUCUUCUGUUAGUUUCAUGUUGUGUUUCUAUCGCUUUCUAUUUUCUCGCCCAAACAAUGAGUAAAGUAUGACUAAUUCGCCUUCUUGUGUUGAUGUAAUUUCCUUGAAUCCAUGCCAAGUUAUCUAUCGACUAUUUCUGCCAACUCUUUCUCUUUUGUAAAAUUUUCAAACUCGGGCAAGGUUGAUUUACUU